CUUUUAAAGGCUAUUUUAUCUUCUGCGAGUAAAGUUUACAUUCCAUUAUUUUUAUUUCCCUUAGAAAUGUCCAGAAAUUGACAUUUGGAGGAAAUACUUUAGAAAAUUUAUUUUAAAUGUUACAGUGUAAUGAUCUAUUCAUUGUAUGUGCGGGGGUGUGUGUGCGCACAUGAGAGCCUGAAAUAAAAUUUUGGAAUUCUAAAUGUUUACUUUUUUUCAGCAUGACGUCUGGAAGUUCAGAGUCAGAUAUACCACAAGAAAACAAAGUAUCGCUAAGAAAACCUGAUAAUGAAGUUUUGCUUCAUUUAAUGGAGCUGUUUAUGAUACUGUUGCCCAAAGAGUGUCCCUCACUGGACCAUAUGAAAACAAUUUUUCUCUGGUUGGUGGGGACCCUUGAAUUUGGGAUAUGGGAAUCUUCAGGGCACCAAUUUCUACUUAACUGCCCUGUCUUCUAAGGAUGCUAAUCAACCAGCACCCUAGAGGUAACCCUCUCAUGGACGGUAUCUACACUGAAAAGGACAAGGUGCCAAUUACCUACUACCUUUAGGAUUUCUGCCAAGGGCUUCAAUUAGCUUCCUGGAGUUCAGAAUCCAUCCCCUUCCAAUUUACAAUGGGUAAGCUUGGGAUCCCUGGGGCUUGAAGGAACUGGUUGUGCUUCGGUUUCUGAUUUUUAAAAAAAUAUUUCUAAAGAAAUACAUUUAGCUGGAGGGAGUUGGGAUUAGAGACUCAAAGUGGUGGGGAUAUCCAUGAUUACUGCUGCCUUCUUCCACAACGCAGUCUCUUUUAAGUCAUGGAACUCACAGAGCACAGAACUCAGCAGAAUGGAUUCUGCUGUGAACCAUGAGGAACCGAAUUGCAGGUGGAUCUCAGUUGCCUCUUUUAAAUAAUUGCUUUUAGUUUUGGUCGAGAAGACAGAGAUGAGAAAAUCUUUUCAUGAAGAUUUCUUGACCACCAAGCAGAAUUAACCCCGCUCUCUCUGCCUUUGUGUCUUGGUGGUUCUUUAUUUGCCUUUACUGCACUAUUCUCUGAAUCUACUUUGACUUUUGAACUCUGUUGGUAAACUGUGCAUUCCUAGAGAAAGGACUGAGCUUUAUUAGUCUCUGGGACAAAAUUUCAGACAUCAAAAUGGCUCUCGAUCGAUAUCAUUUGAAAUAAAACAAACAGACUGAGCUCCAGGCGUAGUAGCAGGUGAUUGAAAUUCCCUGUCCCUCUGAAUCCGUAGAGCAGCCCAUGAGGGUGGUGUCUGGCAUCAUCAUUGUUAUAUUGAUAAUUUUCUUCCUAUUGUUAUAAUUACCAAUUUAGAAAUUAAGAAAUUGAGAUUCGGGGAGAUUCAAGGAGCUCCAGAAUGUUAAGUGAUCAAAGAAUAUGUGUUUACUUUAUCGCAGGAACCUGAUGGGAUAAUCCAGUAAGACUUUGUUUAAAUCCACUCUCAGGUGCCAGGUAGUCCCCAUUUAUCUCAACCCUAUCUAUUCUUUGGGCCUGCUGGAGAAUUAGAAUGUUAUUUAAACUAUUGCUUUUGCUGCAUUUUAACAUCUUCUGACAGAAUAGCUAGUGCAUAUAAAUUAUCUCAUUUGAAGCUGUUUAGGAAAUAAAAAUUCUAUUGCAAGAAGGGUUGGCCAAAAUAGGAUCACGACUGCUCCCUCUGAACUAUUUCUGAGAAUCUAGACACAUAGAAAUAAGCAAUGUAAAACAUAUAAUGUCAUUGGUUAUGUGGAGUGCCACAUCUAAAAGUAAGGCUAUGGGUAUGAAUUCAUUAGCUCUAGAAUAUAUAUGAAGUAUUUUACUCAGUGUGCAAAACUAGGCUUAUUAUAAAAUCCCAUAAGCCCUUUAGCUUUCAAGUAGUAAUUUAGUGAUCACUUUAUUAAAGAAUCACUAUUUUAAGUGCCAAAUAUAUGAAAGCACUUUUUGGUUUUUAAUUUGUAAGAUCAAAUAAUAGCCCACUAUAUAGGAAGUCAGCUUUAUAAAGUGACCUUAAAGUAGCUAAAACAUAUUAUAUUUGAUAAGUUGGGGAAAGCAAGCAGUGUCUUAUUUGUGUCAAAUUAUAUAAAUUCUGUUCUUCUUUUAAUACUUAGUGUAAUAUACUAUUAGUUUUGCUGGAAACAUACAUUUGGUCAUAUUUCUGGUAUCUAUAAAUUUUAACAUUCUAAGAUGACUUUCAAAAGAUUCUUUCCUUUGAUGAGCAAACUUUCAAAUCGUUAAUGAAUCAAGGUUAUCAAUAUAUCAUUUGUGUUUUAAAUAAGUGAUUUAAAGGAGGUAUCGCUGUUUAUUGUUAAGAUGAGAACAAUAUAAAAUUGUAUAUGUAUCUAUAUUUAAAUAAAGAUUUGUUGCUGUUCUGGGAAAUAGGUUAAUUUUUUUACCACUCUAAUAGGUAAGAAAUUACAUCUCAAAACUCUUUGUUUUGCCUUUCCUUUCUUUCUCUCUCUUUCAGCUUUACUAAGACAUAAUUGACACAUUUAAAGUAUACAAGUUGAUGAGUUUUGAUACCAUGUGAAGCUACCACCACAAUCAGGAUAAUGUGCCUAUCUACCACCCUCAAAAGUUACUCAUGCACCUUAGGAAUUCCCCCACCUGCCUCUCCCCACCUGCCCACACCCCUCAAGCAUUUCCUUGAGAUUUUUAUAAACGGAGACAUACAGAAUGUACCCUUUUUUACUGCUUUCUUUCACUUAGAAAAAUUGUUUUGAAAUUUAUCCAUGUUGUAGUGUGUAUCAAUAACUCAUUUUUAUUGCAGAAUAGUUUCCCGUUGUAUUGGAGGUACCAAUCUGUUUAUCCCUGCUGCAGAUUGGAUAUGGUUUGUUUGUCCCCAUCAAAUCUCAUGUUGAACUUUGAUCUCCAGUGUUAGAGGGAGUUCUAAUGGGAGGUGUUUGGGUCAUGGGGUUGCAUCCCUCAUGAAUAGAUUAACAUCCUCCCUUGGGGGUGAGUUCUCAAUAAGCUGAUUGUUAAAAAGAGUCUGACACCUGCCUGUGUUGUCUCCUUGCUUCUUCUCUCACCCUGUGAUAUCUGCACAUUCCUGUUCCUUCCACCAUUAGUGGAAGCAGUCUGAGAUCCUCCAGAAACUAAGCAGAUGCUGACACCAUGCUUCUUGUACAGCCUACAGAUCCAUCAGCUAAAUAAACCUCUUUUCUUUUCAAAUUACCAAGCCUCAGAUAUUCUUUUAUAGCAACACACAACAGACUAAGACAAUCCUUUGUCUGUUGACUGACAUUUAGAUUAUUUCCAG
rnacentral:lncRNA from 1 species